rnacentral:rRNA from 1 species
UACGUAGGGCGCAAGCGUUAUCCGGAAUUAUUGGGCGUAAAGAGCUCGUAGGCGGUUUGUCGCGUCUGCCGUGAAAGUCCGGGGCUCAACUCCGGAUCUGCGGUGGGUACGGGCAGACUAGAGUGAUGUAGGGGAGACUGGAAUUCCUGGUGUAGCGGUGAAAUGCGCAGAUAUCAGGAGGAACACCUGAGGUGAAGACGGGUUGCUGGGCCGACACUGACGCUGAUGCGCGAAAGCCAGGGGAGCAAACGGG